rnacentral:lncRNA from 1 species
UCCGACGUUAUCCAAAAACACUUAAAAAUAUUUAGAUAUGACACCAAACACAAUUCGUUUACUACUUUUGAAGAUCCCUGUGACCCACCAUAUGACAUGUUCAUGUUA